GAAGGUAUAGCUCAGUGGUAGAGUACAUGCCUACCAUUCACAUGAUCCUGGGUUCAAUCCCCAGUAUCUCCA
rnacentral:tRNA from 1 species